CUCUUUCUCUGUGAAUUUCUUGAGAGCACAGACUACAUUCUGCUUAACUUUUUAUCCCCAGCUUUCAGCACAGUGCCUGGCUGCUUUGGCGUCUCCAAGUACCUGACCUCAGCUCAACCUGUCUUGGGUUUUCUUCUCCUCCCUGACAUUGACAACCCAGCCCUCCUAGGCACAGAGAGAUGGAGCUGAGUGUGGUUUUCCUGAAAUAAAGCUUGCAUUAUGAGAGGGAAUAAACAGAAGAAAAAAAUAUGUCUGAGGCGCAUGGCCCCGGGAGAGGAGGAGAAUGGGACGGUGGUUCAGAUCUGCUGAUGUAGCUGUGGUCAGUCACUGGGGAGAAUAGGCCUGUGGAUUUCUGCUCCUCUGAGAUGGAUCCAUCACUGACUACUGAACUUGUUUUCUCAUUGGCUCAACUUAAGAAGGUUCUAGAGGAUCAAGGACGUGAAACAACCAAAACCAAAGAGCAGCUGGAGACCACUUGCCAGUGAUUAGCACGAGAGAUGUGCCAGCCCUGAGACAACCUUCCCACUGGCCAGAAAGAUGUCAGCCCCAAAGAUAACCUCCCCUCCACCCAGAGGCAUUCCAACCCUGCCAUAAACUUCUCCCCUACACGAACAUAUUCCAAGCUUGUGAUAAACCCCCUCACCCUAAAACCAAUAUAUACUCUUAGUCUGUAAGAGAGGGUGCUCCUGACUGAAAUUGGCCAGAAGCCCCUCUCAGGUUUUUUUCCACAAAAAUAAACCUAUCUUUGACUGUUAA
ensembl:lncRNA novel transcript, antisense to C7orf33 and CNTNAP2